UAAAGCUACAGUGUGUAGGUUUGAGUGCCAUCUAGUGGUGAGGUUGCAGAUUGUUAUUGUGCAAUCACUGAUCACGAUUUUGUUUCCACUUCAUCUUGUCACU